CGGCCUCCGCUUCGAUCUAUCCCUCUGGCGCUCCUAUCUCUCGGCGAACAAGCUCUUCGCCGACUGCCUAACGGAGGUCCUCAACCCCGACGACGACUUCGUCUGGAUCCACGACUACCACCUCCUGGCCCUCCCCACCUUCCUCCGCAAGCGCUUCCCCAGGGCAAAGCUUGGAUUUUUUCUCCAUUCCUCCUUCCCUUCCUCCGAGAUCUUCCGCACCAUUCCCGUCCGCGACGACCUCCUCCGCGCCCUCCUCAACGCCGACCUAGUCGGCUUCCACACCUUCGACUACGCCCGCCACUUCCUCUCCGCC
rnacentral:lncRNA from 1 species